CCUCCCCCUACCCCCCAGCCUCGCUGGCAUGUUGAACCGACCCAGCCUGUUUAAACGCAAAGGACAGGGAUCCUAGCUGUUCAAUGUAUAAAAAAAAUCAGUUCAGACCCAGAGAGAGGGAGAGAAAGAGAGAGAAAGCGAGCGAGAGAGAGAGAGGGAGGAGGGAGGGAGAGAGAGAGAGAGAGGAGCGUGUGAGUGUAUGUAGGAGAGAGAGUGAGUGAGUGUGAGUGUGUGCAUGUGUGAGUGUGUGUGAGAGAGAGAGGAAGCGAGAGAGAGAGAGAGAGUGAGUGAGGGGGGGUGGUGGUGGGCGCGCAAAAAAGGAAAAAAGAAGAAUUUGGUCUCUAUGUAUAUAAAGAUGGCCACGUUAGCCAACGGACAAGCAGACAAUCCCAGCCUCGGUGGCAACCACACUAACCCCAACCCCAGCAACGGGCACAUGAACGGAUUAAACCACAGUCCAGGGAACGGCACCACCAUCCCCAUGAAGGACCACGAUGCCAUCAAGCUCUUCAUUGGGCAAAUCCCUCGCAACCUGGACGAGAAGGACCUCAAGCCGCUCUUCGAAGAGUUCGGGAAGAUCUACGAACUGACGGUGCUGAAGGACAGGUUCACCGGCAUGCACAAAGGCUGUGCCUUCCUAACAUACUGUGAAAGGGAGUCUGCUCUUAAAGCCCAGAGUGCACUGCAUGAACAGAAGACACUGCCAGGGAUGAACAGACCAAUCCAGGUGAAACCAGCGGACAGCGAGAGCCGAGGAGAAGACAGAAAACUCUUUGUGGGCAUGCUCAACAAACAGCAGUCAGAAGAUGAUGUCCGCAGGCUAUUCGAAGCAUUCGGGAACAUUGAGGAAUGCACGAUCCUUCGGGGACCAGAUGGAAACAGCAAAGGGUGUGCGUUUGUGAAAUAUUCCUCACAUGCGGAAGCCCAGGCAGCCAUUAACGCCUUGCACGGAAGCCAGACAAUGCCGGGAGCUUCAUCGAGCCUGGUGGUCAAGUUUGCAGACACGGACAAGGAGCGUACAAUGCGGCGUAUGCAGCAAAUGGCCGGGCAGAUGGGCAUGUUCAACCCAAUGGCGAUCCAGUUUGGAGCAUAUGGCGCCUACGCACAGGCACUGAUGCAGCAACAGGCAGCCAUCAUGGCAUCCGUGGCUCAAGGAGGAUACCUAAACCCCAUGGCCGCUUUCGCAGCCGCUCAGAUGCAGCAGAUGGCAGCUCUCAACAUGAACGGCCUGGCCGCCACACCCAUGACGCCCACCUCUGGUGGCAGCACGCCUCCAGGCAUCACCGCACCAGCCGUGCCUAGCAUCCCCUCUCCCAUUGGGGUGAACGGUUUCACUGGCCUACCGCCACAGGCUAAUGGGCAACCCGCCGCAGAAGCUGUCUUUGCCAAUGGCAUCCAUCCUUACCCAGCACAGAGUCCCACUGCAGCUGAUCCCUUGCAGCAAGCCUACGCCGGAGUGCAGCAGUAUGCAGGUCCUGCUUACCCUGCUGCCUAUGGCCAGAUAAGCCAAGCCUUCCCACAGCCGCCUCCCAUGAUCCCACAGCAACAGAGAGAAGGACCAGAGGGCUGUAACCUGUUUAUCUACCAUCUGCCCCAGGAGUUUGGGGACGCAGAGCUGAUGCAGAUGUUCCUGCCAUUCGGUAAUGUCAUCUCCUCGAAAGUGUUUGUGGAUCGGGCGACAAACCAAAGUAAAUGCUUUGGCUUUGUGAGUUUUGACAAUCCUGCUAGUGCCCAAGCUGCCAUCCAGGCUAUGAACGGCUUCCAGAUUGGCAUGAAGAGACUGAAGGUGCAGCUGAAAAGGCCAAAGGAUGCUAACCGCCCCUACUGAAGCAUUGUGGGAAACACUGGAUAAGCAAGGUCUAGCACAGAGCCAGUCAAAUCCACCACAGUCUCGGGCUGAGCUAGGAAAAAAGUUCACGUAAUGACAGGAAAGUGGAGAAUACAGUUCCCCAGUCCGGCAUCAGCUGAAUGGGCCACCUUUAGAGAAAUAUAUAUAUAUAUAUUAAAUAAAUAUAUAUAGGAACGAGAACUGUUGGAUUACACCUUUAACAUAUCAGCAAAUUAUCAGUCGAGCUGAAAAAAAACUUCAGACUUACUCUCUUUCUGAUUGUUCAGACUGUCAACAUUUUUCUCCAAGAAAAGUCACAUCGGCUGAGACUUCGAAGGAUACCCGCUUGAGAAAACAGAACAAAACGAAACCCAUAACAACAAAACAAAGAAACAAGCAAACAAGCAAACAAACAAAACGAUUGUGAGAGGAAGCAGAUCGACUAGGAUUUCUGCAAAGAAAUGGAUGUCACCACAGCGGCUUUUCUUCCAAACAGGAAAUGCAAACCUUGAUACUGACAAAGGAGUGCCUGUUUGCCACCUGGGAUGCGGUUGCUGUGGAUACCCCAUGGUACCCAUCACUCAAGCAUCUUUAUCUGUCAUUCCUUAGCUAUAUAGGGACCAAAGGACAUAACUUUUUAUCGCAGACUUGUAGCUGUAUGUAAAUUAAAGAAGUUCUUUCCUUUUUUUUCUCUGAGCUGUUCCUAUAACAGUUUUCGAGAGAGCAAUUAUAUGAAAUAUGUAAAAACUGAAAAAAAAUAUGCUUAAACGCUUUUAAACAAAAAACGGCAAGAUAAUAGUUCUUUGAUACUUGGGGCGGAUCUUUGGUUAUACCUUAAUUAGAGUCUAUGAAACUUUCAUAUGGUUUUCUGUAUAAUAUGUACGGAUGAUGGAGUGGUUCAAAGGGACAGGUUGAGGUGGUUUCGCUGCGGAAAAUGGCGAAAAAGGCAAGUAAAUAAAACUGAACUGGGAAAGGUGGAAAUGAAAGGUAGACAAGAAACAGAAAGGGAAAAAAAAGAAAACAGGUUUGUAAAUGCUUCUGACUCCCCAUAAACUCUCUCCCAUAAAAUCCUAAUAGUUGUACAGAAUUUAAAAGAAGAAAAAAAAGUAAGAAAAAAGUUUUAAAAUACCUAUAUAAUAGGGAAGAAGGGAUUAGAUGACAUUAAAAAAGCAAAAAAAGCAAAAAAAUAUACAUAGACGUUAGCAUUCAUGCUACAAAAACAAAGAUGUUGUAGAACUGUAACUUUUGUAGAGUUUAGAUUGAAAUCCGUUUCCUGCUCUCAGCCAACCGCUGUUGGAAGCUGUGUCUUAUUUUGGGGGAGGGGGGUUCGGGGCGGGAUCGGGGUGGGACGGGUUGGGGAAGGCCACGAAGACGGCGGCUUAACUCGGCAGCUUUUUUAACCGCAAGCAUUCCAGCUAAUAAUCAAUAAAUAAACGAAUUACGCAAACAAGAAACAACUUCUCCAUUUCGUGUAGACCGGCGACGCUGACACGGGAAACACCUAAUGGCUGUCUUCUUACAAACCCCCCAAAAGUGAGGUCAACCUUGAUGAAACAGAAAGUGAAAACUAGAGGGUGGGAGGGGAAGAAAAGGGGGGGAUUGAAAAAGGGAAAACCACAGCUAAGACGCUUUCAUCUUUCCAUAAACUUGUCGUCCGAGACUUUUCCCAUCAUCUUUGGCUUCCGUAGCUUCCAUAUUUUGCUCUAGGAUCCUUCAGGACAAAAGCGGGGUGGGGUGGGAGCAGGGUUUAGCCUAGAACCUUAAUCUUAAAAAAAAAAGAAGACGAAGAAAAGAAAAGAAAAAAACGUGUAAAAAAAUUAAAAACAAGCAAACAAAAAAAAGAAAAAAAUAAUGACAAAAAUGCAAUCUCUUUGAAGAAUUUCUGAAACUGUUUACAAGGAAUUUUGAAAAACAGGGGGAUGUUUAAAAAAAUAAUAAAAGAUGCUGGCUCUGUUUUUCUGUAAAUAAAUUUGCAUAUUUUGUAGGACUUUUAAUUGUAAUGAUAGAGAAAAAAAUCAAGGAAAAACUAUUUAAGGAAAGCACGAUAUUUAUCUUUGGUAAAUGACUUUAGAGCAGUUGAAAAAAGUUGCUUUAAAAUCUGAAUCAGAAAAAAAUAGAAACAAUGAAUUAUUUAAGAACACAUAUAUUUUAAAGUAUAUCAUAUUUAUUAUAAUUUAUUUCCACGGUGUUAAGACUUGAUUUCUAAGGGUGUGUUUUCCCUCCUUAUUCCAUUUUCUUGGAUGAGAAAAAGAAAUAACAUUUCAGAUCAAUGCUUUGUCUUUUGGUUAGUUUUGAGAUUCUUUCUUUCUUUUUAUGAAAAAAGUUACAUUUUUUUCUCCCUGUUGGGCCUGUUUUAAAGUCCUUAUGCUGGCUCAACAGCCCCUGGCCUUCUUUGGUUGUUUAGCUGGGAUAAAGACAGCCGAAAUGAGGCCGUAUCUAGGUGUAUAAAUACCGUCGCAGUUCCAGACAACUGCUCUCUGAUUCUCAAUUCCCUAAAACUCCUUGUAAUCUUCUGUAAUUAUUGAAUGACGCUUACCAGCUUAGCCCUAAAUAAAGCACAGUUUAAAAAAAGA